rnacentral:rRNA from 1 species
AUGAUUUCCUGCAUGAGCAUGAUUAUACCAACUUUUUUCAAUAACCACUCUCUAUGGAGGCCAUGGAAGAAUUGCACUCUCAUUGAGGGGUCCCAGAACUUGCCCAGAAAUAAUACUGCAAAUGAUAAUUGGUUAUGGUCACCUGGUAAAGGUAAUUACUCUGCAAAGAGUUUUUACACAACAAUGCAUGCCCACAUGCCAGUUGAUGAGCCAUGUAAAUGGAUAUGGGAAAGCAGGAGUAUCAUGAAGAUUAAGGUCUUUGCAUGGCUGAUGCUUAAUGACAGAUUAAAUACCAGAGAUAUGCUGGUUAGAAGAGGCAACAGAAUGAUGAGAAUAACUGCCCUUUAUGCCCCACUCAAAACCCUGGAGGACAGAGAUCACCUAUUUUUUAAGUGUACCUUCAGUGCAAGGGUAUGGAAUUAUCUUCAGAUCCAGUGGGUUGCUGGUCUAAACCCAAGAGAGUGUAUCCUUCAUGCCAAAAAGAAGCUUUGGACACCCUGUUUUCCAUGA